AGCUGCAAGUAUACCUGGAUGGAAAACUGCACACAUGAUCAGAAGCAAAACACUGACAAUUCACUGUUUUUCAUAAUUAUGCCAGAUGAUCCUUUGAUCCCUAAAACUGAUGAUUUUCCAGGCAUACCUUCAGUCUUCAUGAGUUUUGGACAAAAUGUAAACACAAGUGGCUUCAAAGCCCACCAAACAUAAGAACACCUGAACAGCAAGCCAACAGAAAUUAGAAAUGCAAGAACACCUGGUACUGACAGCAACAUAGCAGUAUAUGAAAAGAAAAAAUCACCUUAAUAUCAGUAGCUUGCCCUGAAGGCUCAUUUAUUCCAUACUGAUGUCCUACUGCUAUUUUGAUCGUGACACCCAAAACAGGGGAGUAGACUGCCACGUCUUGAUGAAUAACAAUAACCCAAAUAUAAAUGCAAGAUAUGAAGAAGCCUAUAUGAUCGAACAAACACCUGCACACAUAACAAAAACAAAUGGUGAUCACAGGUUUUGUUGGAAAAAAGAAGAGACUUGCAGAAGGCAUUGGCUGAUAAUGAUGCCGAUUUUAUCGAUUUGUGGAAAGAAAAGCGGCGUUGAGAAACAAAUCUUAAAUAGUUUCACUACCUUUGAGAAGAAUAAAAUGGUA
rnacentral:lncRNA from 1 species